rnacentral:rRNA from 1 species
UAAAUCCCAUUGAUCCUGUGGGAGGUUGCUGCUAUUGGGAUCCGACUAAGCCAUGCAAGUCAUAGGGGUAGCAAUACCACUGGCAUAAGGCUCAGUAACACGUCGAUAAUCUGCCCUUAGGUCUAGGAAAACCUUGAGAAAUUGAGGCUAAACCUGGAUAGAAGAUUGAUACUGGAAUGUUCUUUCUUCGAAAGGCAACGUCUAAGGAUGAGUCGGCGGCUGAUUAGGUUGUUGGUGAGGUAAUGGCUCACCAAGCCUAGGAUCAGUAGGGGGGAUGAGAGUCCUAGCCCCGAGAAGGGCACUGAGAUACUGGCCCUAGCCCUAAGGGGUGCAGCAGGCGCGAAAACUUUACAAUGCACGAAAGUGUGAUAAGGGGAUCCCAAGUGCUUUGUCUUCGGAUAAAGCUUUUGUCAAGUCUAAAUAGCUUGGCGAAUAAGUGGUGGGUAAGACGGGUGCCAGCCGCCGCGGUAACACCCGCGCCACAAGUGGCAAUCACUUUUAUUGGGUCUAAAGCGUCCGUAGCCGGUUUGACAAGUCUCUUGUGAAAUUGUUGGGCUUAACCUAACAACGUGCAAGGGAAACUGUCUCACUUGAGACUGGGAGGAGGUAGAGGUAUUCUGAGGGUAGCGGUAAAAUGUUAUAAUCCUCGGAGGACCACCAGUGGCGGAGGCGUCUACCUAGAACAGGUCUGACGGUGAGGGACGAAGGCCAGGGGAGCAAAACGGAUUAGAUACCCGAGUAGUCCUGGCAGUAAACGCUGUGAGCUAUGUGUUGCAUAAUCUUAGUGAUUGUGCAGUGCCUAAGCGAAGGUGUUAAGCUCACCACCUGGGAAUUACAGUCGCAAGACCGAAACUUAAAGGAAUUGGCGGGGGCUCACUACAAGGGGUGAAGAGUGCGGUUCAAUUGGAUUCCACGCCGGAAAUCUCACCAGGGGCGACGGCAUGAUGAAGGUCAGAUUUAAGGUUUUACCUGAAGCGCCGAGAGGUGGUGCAUGGCCGACGCCAGCUCGUGCCGUGAAAUAUUCCGUUGAAUUAUUCCAAUGAACUGUUCAACAUUAUUCGGUAAAGGUGUCACGUUAAGUCGUGCAACGAGCAAGACCCAUAUCCGCUUUUACCAGCAGGUACUACGGUAUGUCUGGGUACAAUGCGGAGACUGCCUUCGUAAGGAGGAGGAAGGCGUGGGCAACGUUAGGUCCGUAUGCCCCGAAUCUCCUGGGCUACACGCGCUCUGCAAUGGUGGAGACAAUAGGAUGCAACUCCGAAAGGAGAAGCAAACCCUCUAAACUCCAUCUUAGUCUGGAUUGAGGGUUGUAAUUCACCCUCAUGAAACCGGAAUCCCUAGUAAUCGGACUUCAUUACGGUCCGGUGAAUAACGUCCCUGAGCCUUGCACACACUGCCCGUCAAACCAACCGAGCAUGGCUUAGAUGAGAUAUAGCUUUUUGGUUAUAUCAAAUCUGAGUUAAGUAAGGUGGGUUAAGUCGUCACAAGGUAUCCGUAGGGGAACCUGCGGAUGGAUCACCUCCUU